AUUGAACGCUGGCGGCAUGCCUUACACAUGCAAGUCGAACGGCAGCACGGGUGCUUGCACCUGGUGGCGAGUGGCGAACGGGUGAGUAAUACAUCGGAACAUGUCCUGUAGUGGGGGAUAGCCCGGCGAAAGCCGGAUUAAUACCGCAUACGAUCUACGGAUGAAAGCGGGGGACCUUCGGGCCUCGCGCUAUAGGGUUGGCCGAUGGCUGAUUAGCUAGUUGGUGGUGUAAAGGCCUACCAAGGCGACGAUCAGUAGCUGGUCUGAGAGGACGACCAGCCACACUGGGACUGAGACACGGCCCAGACUCCUACGGGAGGCAGCAGUGGGGAAUUUUGGACAAUGGGCGAAAGCCUGAUCCAGCAAUGCCGCGUGUGUGAAGAAGGCCUUCGGGUUGUAAAGCACUUUUGUCCGGAAAGAAAUCCUUGGCCCUAAUACGGUCGGGGGAUGACGGUACCGGAAGAAUAAGCACCGGCUAACUACGUG
rnacentral:rRNA from 1 species